GGAGAGAUGUCCGAGCGGCCGAAGGAGCACGCUUGGAAAGCGUGUAUGCCCCACAAGGGUAUCGUGGGUUCGAAUCCCACUCUCUCCGCCA
rnacentral:tRNA from 1 species